AAAAAGAAGAGAACGCCACUCAAAUCCAAUCAAUUGACAACACUUUUUUUUUUCUUCUUCUUAUAAACCCAAAAGCCCUCCCCACCUUCUUCUUCAACCUUCUUCCAUAACUGGCACACACAGGAGAAGAUAUAUAAUCAUAAUUAAUUAAUUAACCAACAACUACAACAAAAGCAAAAUGAGUUUCCUCCAAAAAUUAUGGGACGAAACCCUCGCCGGUCCAGCGCCCGAUUCCGGACUCAGUCGGCUGCGUAAGUAUAACUCCUUCUCCGCCUCCAGAUCUCCGCCCAUGUUAUCCAACGACGUCCUAUCCAAUAAUAGUAAUAAUAUUAAUAUUCCACCCAGAAUCCAAAUCCCUAGUCCUACGCUUUCCCAGAGUCCCCCCUCUUUCCCUGAAUCGCCGAUGGCCGCACCAUCUACGCCGAGGACUCCCCCCUCCACUCCGCCGGAGACGCCGCGAUCAGGAGAGGAUCAUGCGAAGAGACUUGGGAGAAGAAGAUCGGUGGAUUAUCCUCGCCGCCGUCCUCUUGAAGGAGCUGAACAAACUAGUCCUUCUGUUUAUGAUUGGAUCGUAAUAACUGCAUUGGAUCGUUGACGGAGAAGAGAAGAGCAAAGGGAGGAAGAGCAAUGAAUAAUGUUGUAAUUUGAUGAUAAGGAUGAAAAAGUAAAACAUCUCUCUUUCUCACUACUAAUAUUGAAGGGAAAAAGAAUAUGGAGAAUGUACAAAACAUAUGUACAAAGUAUAUUAAUUAGUAUAUAAUAGGAGGAUGUACCAAAAAAACACCUUUUUGUAUUGUGAAUAUAAACUUUCUAUUAUUACCUAUUUUCUAUUUUAUUCA